rnacentral:rRNA from 1 species
UACGUAGGGUGCAAGCGUUGUCCGGAAUUAUUGGGCGUAAAGAGCUCGUAGGCGGUUUGUUGCGUCGGCUGUGAAAUCCCGAGGCUCAACCUCGGGUCUGCAGUCGAUACGAGCAAACUAGAGUGUUGCAGGGGAGACUGGAAUUCCUGGUGUAGCGGUGAAAGUGCGCAGAUAUCGGAAGGAGACACCCGUGGCGGAAGGCGGCUCUCUGGGACGGUACUGACGCUGAGACGCGAAAGCGUGGGGAGCGAACAGG